AACGAACGCUGGCGGCAUGCCUAACACAUGCAAGUCGAACGAUUGCCUUCGGGUGAUAGUGGCGCACGGGUGCGUAACGCGUGGGAAUCUGCCCUUAGGUUCGGACUAACAGCUGGAAACGGCUGCUAAUACCGGAUGAUAUCGCGAGAUCAAAGAUUUAUCGCCUGAGGAUGAGCCCGCGUUGGAUUAUGUAGUUGGUGGGGUAAAGGCCUACCAAGCCGACGAUCCAUAGCUGGGCUGAGAGGAUGAUCAGCCACACUGGGACUGAGACACGGCCCAGACUCCUACGGGAGGCAGCAGUGGGGAAUAUUGGACAAUGGGCGCAAGCCUGAUCCAUCAAUGCCGCGUGAGUGAUGAAGGCCCUAGGGUUGUAAAGCUCUUUUACCCGGGAAGAUAAUGACUGUACCGGGAGAAUAAGCCCCGGCUAACUCCGUG
rnacentral:rRNA from 1 species